UGUAAAGAAAGUUUCCACUGUGACGUUAAUUAACAAGCCUUGUAUUUUCUCUGCGGAGGCGUCAGCAAUGGGGUCAGGGACGAAUACCUCUGCUCCACUGCAGUCAAGGGUCUGAAAAUAUUGACUGUUAAAAUCCUCUGCUCUUAAACUGGAUGGGCUGCUGGUGUUAGUUUAGUUGCUGGUGUUAGUUUAACUGGUGGUGGUGUUAGUUUAGCUGGUGGUGGUGUUAGUUUAGCUGGUGGUGUAAGUUUAACUGUUGGUGUUAGUUUAGCUGGUGGUGGUGUUAGUUUAGCUGGUGGUGUUAGUUUUGCAGGUGGUGGUGUUAGUUUAGCUGGUGGUGGUGUUAGUUUAGCUGGUGGUGGUGUUAGUUUAGCUGGUGGUGGUGUUAGUUUAGCUGGUGGUGGUGUUAGUUUAGCUGGUGGUGGUGUUAGUUUAGCUGGUGGUGGUGUUAGUUUAGCUGGUGGUGGUGUUAGUUUAGCUGGUGGUGUUAGUUUAGCUGGUGGUGUUAGUUUAGCUGGUGGUGGUGUUAGUUUAGCUGGUGGUGGUGUUAGUUUAGCUGGUGGUGGUGUUAGUUUAGCUGGUGGUGGUGUUAGUUUAACUGGUGGUGGUGUUAGUUUAGCUGGUGGUGUUAGUUUAGCUGGUGGUGUUAGUUUAGCUGGUGGUGUUAGUUUAACUGGUGUUAGUUUAGCUGGUGGUGGUGUUAGUUUAGCUGGUGGUGGUGUUAGUUUAGCUGGUGGUGGUGUUAGUUUAGCUGGUGGUGUUAGUUUAGCUGGUGGUGGUGUUAGUUUAGCUGGUGGUGGUGUUAGUUUAGCUGGUGGUGGUGUUAGUUUAGCUGGUGGUGGUGUUAGUUUAGCUGGUGGUGUUAGUUUAGCUGGUGGUGUUAGUUUAGCUGGUGGUGGUGUUAGUUUAGCUGGUGGUGGUGUUAGUUUAGCUGGUGGUGGUGUUAGUUUAGCUGGUGGUGGUGUUAGUUUAGCUGGUGGUGUUAGUUUAACUGGUGGUGGUGUUAGUUUAGCUGGUGGUGGUGUUAGUUUAGCUGGUGGUGGUGUUAGUUUAACUGGUGGUGGUGUUAGUUUAACUGCUGGUGGUGUUAGUUUAACUGGUGGUGGUGUUAGUUUAGCUGGUGGUGUUAGUUUUGCUGGUGGUGUUAGUUUAACUGGUGUUAGUUUAGCUGGUGGUGGUGUUAAUUUAACUGGUGUUGGUGUUAGUUUAGCUGUUGGUGGUGUUAGUUUAGCUGGUGGUGGUGGUAGUUUAGCUGGUGGUGUUAGUAUAGCUGGUGGUGGUGUUAGUUUAACUGGUGGUGGUGUUAGUUUAGCUGGUGGUGGUGUUAGUUUAGCUGGUGGUGUUAGUUUAGCUGGUGGUGGUGUUAGUUUAGCUGGUGGUGGUGUUAGUUUAACUGGUGGUGGUGUUAGUUUAACUGGUGGUGGUGUUAGUUUAACUGGUGGUGGUGUUAGUUUAACUGGUGGUGGUGUUAGUUUAACUGGUGGUGGUGUUAGUUUAGCUGGUGGUGUUAUUAGUUUAGCUGGUGGUGUUAUUAGUUUAACUGGUGGUGGUGUUAGUUUAGCUGGUGGUGCAGUUUGUUUAGCUGGUGGUGCAGUUUGUUUAGCUGGUGGUGUUAGUUUAGCUGGUGGUGUUAUUCAUUUAGCUGUUGUUAGUUUAGUAGUGGUCUACAUACAGUAAUGGGUGCCCAGUAGGCUGGUCAAAGUAGCUGGUGGUGUUAGUUUAACUGGUGGUGUUAGUUUAACUGGUGUUAGUUUAGCUGGUGGUGGUGUUAGUUCAGCUGGUGGUGGUGUUAGUUUAACUGGUGGUGGUGUUAGUUUAUCUGGUGGUGGUGUUAGUUUAGCUGGUGGUGGUGUUAGUUUAGCUGGUGGUGUUAGUUUAACUGGUGGUGGUGUUAGUUUAGCUGGUGGUGUUAGUUUAGCUGGUGGUGGUGUUACUGGUGGUGGUGUUAGUUUAGCUGGUGGUGUUAGUGUAGCUGGUGGUGGUGUUAGUUUAGCUGGUGGUUGUGUUAGUUUAGCUGGUGGUGUUAGUUUAGCUGCUGGUGGUGUUAGUUUAGCUGGUGGUGUUAUUAGUUUAGCUGGUGGUGUUAGUUUAACUGGUGGUGCAGUUUGUUUAGCUGGUGGUGCAGUUUGUUUAGCU
rnacentral:lncRNA from 1 species